GGCAGAUGCAACAUGCCUGGCCAGCCAGCUCAGCGCCAUCUACCCUGGCUCCUUACACACAACAAAUGCCAGGGCUGAUUGCCCUGACAUCCAGGAUGCCCUGAGGGGUGUUCCGUUCCUUCUCUGAUCCCUGGUAACUGGGAGCAAAGUGGCCAUGUGCAGAUUCUCAACCUUCUGUGCAGAGGAGGAGCUGUGAUGUGGGAGAGGGGUAUUUCUACUUUUGGUAUUUAUCUAAGGAGAUUUUCCUUCUGAAGGAUGACAACAUUUUCCCCUCCUCUAUCCCAGAUUGGAAAAUCUGAUGGCACGAUUCCAGUGCUACCAAACUAUCCUGAAUCCAGAGUCUCCAAUUUGGCAUUGGUUUUGGCUCACUCAUAAGAUCCUGGCUCCCGUGUCCCUCUCCCAAGGAGGAAAGUGCACAGCUGACUGACACGCUGCACUUAGGCCUGAUGCCCCAUGUUUCUGCUGGGUUUAUAAGAGAGGACUGGAGGAAAAGAAUCUUGAUCUGCAGAGUGCCCUGCGUGUGUCCAGUAUUCGACGACCUGGAAGCUCAGAAUUGGCCUAAAGAAAAUGGAAGUGAGAAACACACAGGCCGGUCAGAGGCACACAGCUGCCUUCUCUCCCAGCUGACUUUGGGCAACCACACCAAGGCAAAGCCAGAGGAACCAAGAAAGGUAGGGACGCAGGGCCCCAGCAGUUGUGGGUCUCUGUGAGCUGUAGGGGAUGUGCAAACAGAUGGAGGUCAGUCUAUCAGGCACUGAGAACAAGGUCCCCAAGUGUCCCUUUCCUUGUCUCUGUCUCCUGUCCCGAGAAAAUCACCUCCAGCCCCUGCCAUCCAGGGCACCUCAUAUCUCAUUUAAUAUACAUUUCCUGUCACACACUCACAAAGAGAUUCCAAGUUAACUGCUCUUUACUGAGUGGCUAGUCCGUGCCAGGCAUUGCACUAACAACUCCCCUGGACUUUACCUUCCGUAACUCUCACAACAGAUCCUCAGUGGUGGUCACUGGCAUAACCACAGUGUAAAGAUGAGGAAACCAAGGCCCACAAAGGUUAAUUACUCUGUCCCAAACUGCACAGCUAUAAAUUCAAGACUAUCCCUGUCUGCCAACCACUCCUCCUCUUCUCUAAUAAAAUGAAUGAGACGGAAACA
rnacentral:lncRNA from 1 species